rnacentral:rRNA from 1 species
AGCGAACGCUGGCGGCAGGCCUAACACAUGCAAGUCGAACGAAGUCUUCGGACUUAGUGGCGGACGGGUGAGUAACACGUGGGAACGUGCCUUUAGGUUCGGAAUAACUCAGGGAAACUUGUGCUAAUACCGAAUGUGCCCUUCGGGGGAAAGAUUUAUCGCCUUUAGAGCGGCCCGCGUCUGAUUAGCUAGUUGGUGAGGUAAAGGCUCACCAAGGCGACGAUCAGUAGCUGGUCUGAGAGGAUGAUCAGCCACAUUGGGACUGAGACACGGCCCAAACUCCUACGGGAGGCAGCAGUGGGGAAUCUUGCGCAAUGGUCGAAAGCCUGACGCAGCCAUGCCGCGUGAAUGAUGAAGGUCUUAGGAUUGUAAAAUUCUUUCUCCGGGGACGAUAAUGACGGUACCCUAAGAAGAAGCCCCGGCUAACUUCGUGCCAGCCGCCGCCGUAAUAC